GGGGGGGGGGCAAGCGUUGUUCGGGAAUUACUGGGGCGUGAAGGGGCGCGCAGGCGGCCUGGGCAAGUCCUUCGUGAAAUCCCACAGCUCAACUGUGGAACUGCGGAGGAUACUGCUAGGCUUGAGUCCGGGAGAGGGGAGUGGAAUUCCCAGUGUAGCGGUGAAAUGCGUAGAUAUUGGGAGGAACACCAGUGGCGAAGGCGGCUCCCUGGACCGGUACUGACGCUGAGGCGCGAAAGCUAGGGGAGCAAACGGGAUUAGAUACCCCGGUAGUCCUAGCUGUAAACGUUGAGCACUUGGUGUGGCGGGUGUCGACCCCUGCCGUGCCGAAGCUAACGCAUUAAGUGCUCCGCCUGGGGAGUACGGUCGCAAAGGCUG
rnacentral:rRNA from 1 species